rnacentral:rRNA from 1 species
UACGGAGGGGGCUAGCGUUGUUCGGAAUGACUGGGCGUAAAGCGCGCGUAGGCGGAUCGGUAAGUUGGGGGUGAAAUCCCGGGGCUCAACCCCGGAAUGGCCUUCGAGACUGGUGGUCUUGAGUUCGAGAGAGGUGAGUGGAAUUCCGAGUGUAGAGGUGAAAUUCGUAGAUAUUCGGAGGAACACCAGUGGCGAAGGCGGCUCACUGGCUCGACACUGACGCUGAGGUGCGAAAGCGUGGGGAGCAAACAGG